UGGGGAAUUUUGCACAAUGGGGGAAACCCUGAUGCAGCGACGCCGCGUGAUUUAGAAGGCCUUCGGGUUGUAAAAAUCUUUUUUAUGGGAUGAAAAUGACAGUACCAUAAGAAUAAGGUCCGGCUAAAUACGUGCCAGCAGCCGCGGUAAUACGUAGGGUGCGAGCGUUGUCCGGAAUUACUGGGCGUAAAGAGCUCGUAGGCGGUUUGUCACGUCGUCUGUGAAAUCCUAGGGCUUAACCCUGGACGUGCAGGCGAUACGGGCUGACUUGAGUACUACAGGGGAGACUGGAAUUUCUGGUGUAGCGGUGGAAUGCACAGAUAUCAGGAAGAACACCGAUGGCGAAGGCAGGUCUCUGGGUAGUAACUGACGCUGAGGAGCGAAAGCAUGGGUAGCGAACAGG
rnacentral:rRNA from 1 species